ACUUGCAUCCUAGACUUAGAGGGAGUGAAAGGAGAUUUCUUCCCUCUUUUCUUAGAGGGAGUGAAAGGAGAUUUCUUCCCUCUUUUCCCCACCUUCCUUGCAAACAAGCAGCAGCAGCAGCAGCGAUGCUACAAGGCUUGUGCUUUCUGGGCAUGGUAAUUGAAGGGGAAGGGUUCCGCUCAGUGGCAGAACACCUGUUUUGCAUGCAGAAGGUGAGGGGUUCAACCUCCAGCUUCUCCAGGUAGGAGCAGGGGAGACCCCGGUCUGAAAUCCUGCAGCACCUCUGCCAGUCGGUUUUGACAAUACUAAGGAUUCAGAGCUGAUGAAGCGGCUAGGCCAAAGCCGAAAGGUCGCUCAGUUGCGCAUAUGCCUGGAAGCGAAAGGAAAGUCCAAUGCUGUAAAGAAAAAUAUUGCAUAGGAACCUGGAAUGUAAGAACCAUGAACCUGGGUAAGUUGGAUGUGGUCAAAAAUGAGAUGGCAAGAAUAAACAUUGACAUCCUGGGCAUUAGUGAACUAAAAUGGAAGGGAAUGGGCGAAUUCAGUUCGGAUGACCAUCAUAUCUACUACUGUGGGCAAGAAACCCGUAAAAGAAAUGGAGUGGCCCUCAUAGUCAACAAAGGAGUGGCGAAAGCUGU